GCCGAUGUGGCUCAGUUGGUAGAGCAGCCGAUUCGUAAUCAGCAGGUCGGGGGUUCGAGUCCCUUCAUCGGCUCCA
rnacentral:tRNA from 1 species